CAAGUCGAACGGGAUCUCAGGAGCUUGCUCCUGGGUGAGAGUGGCGAACGGGUGAGUAAUGCGUGACCGACCUGCCCCAUACACCGGAAUAGCUCCUGGAAACGGGUGGUAAUGCCGGAUGCUCCGACUCCUCGCAUGGGGUGUCGGGAAAGAUUAUAUCGGUAUGGGAUGGGGUCGCGUCCUAUCAGGUAGUCGGCGGGGUAACGGCCCACCAAGCCUUCGAUGGAUAGGGGUUCUGAGAGGAAGGUCCCCACAUUGGAACUGAGACACGGUCCAAACUCC
rnacentral:rRNA from 1 species